UCAGACGGCUGGGCGGCCGCGGCCGCUUUUGCGGUCGAGGAAAGUCCGGGCUCCACGACGACAUGGCGGCGGGUAACGCCCGCCGGGGGCGACCCCAGGGAUAGCGCCACAGAAAGCAAACCGCCUCUCUCCGGAGAGGUAAGGGUGAAAGGGUGCGGUAAGAGCGCACCGCGUUGGCGGCGACGUCGACGGCACGGCAAGCCCCGCCAGGAGCAAGACCGAAUAGGGAUUCCGCGCCGGCGCAAGCCGGUAGGGCCGUCGUUGGCCUGAGGCG
rnacentral:RNase_P_RNA from 1 species